AACGAACGCUGGCGGCAGGCCUAAUACAUGCAAGUCGAGCGAGCCCUCCGGGUCUUGCGUUGGCCGGGUGUAUAACCCGUCGGAACGUGCCCUCUUCUGUGGCCUAGCUUCGGGAAUCUGAUAGUAAUACGGCAUACGACCUUAGGGGGAAAGAUUUUUCGGAAAAGGUGCGGCCAUAGUUGGAUUCGGUCGUUGGUUGGGUUAUGGACUACCAAGCGUACGAUUCAUAGCUGGUUUGAGAGGAUGAUCAGCCACACUGGGACUGAGACACGGCCCAGACUCCUACGGGAGGCAGCAGUGGGGAAUCUUAGACAAUGGGGGCAACCCUGAUCGAGCCAUGCCGCGUGAGUGAUGAAGGCCUUAGGGUUGUAAAGCUCUUUCAGCUGGGAAGAUAAUGACGGUACCAGCAGAAGAAGCCCCGGCUAACUCCGUG
rnacentral:rRNA from 1 species